AACGAACGCUGGCGGCAGGCCUAACACAUGCAAGUCGAGCGAGAUCUUCGGGUCUAGCGGCGGACGGGUGAGUAACGCGUGGGAAUAUGCCUCUUGUACGGAAUAGCCUCGGGAAACUGGGAGUAAUACCGUAUGUGCCCUUUGGGGGAAAGAUUUAUCGCCAAGAGAUUAGCCCGCGUUGGAUUAGGUAGUUGGUGGGGUAAUGGCCUACCAAGCCGACGAUCCAUAGCUGGUUUGAGAGGAUGAUCAGCCACACUGGGACUGAGACACGGCCCAGACUCCUACGGGAGGCAGCAGUGGGGAAUCUUAGACAAUGGGGGCAACCCUGAUCUAGCCAUGCCGCGUGAGUGAUGAAGGCCUUAGGGUUGUAAAGCUCUUUCAGCUGGGAAGAUAAUGACGGUACCAGCAGAAGAAGCCCCGGCUAACUCCGUG
rnacentral:rRNA from 1 species